AGUCUUAUAGUCAAUUAUGAUUUUAAAUUGCAAGUUUAAAGGUGAGGGUAUUCUAAGGCUU
rnacentral:tRNA from 1 species